GGAGCUUGCUCCCUGGGUGACGAGCGGCGGACGGGUGAGUAAUGUCUGGGAAACUGCCUGAUGGAGGGGGAUAACUACUGGAAACGGUAGCUAAUACCGCAUAACGUCGCAAGACCAAAGAGGGGGACCUUCGGGCCUCUUGCCAUCAGAUGUGCCCAGAUGGGAUUAGCUAGUAGGUGGGGUAAUGGCUCACCUAGGCGACGAUCCCUAGCUGGUCUGAGAGGAUGACCAGCCACACUGGAACUGAGACACGGUCCAGACUCCUACGGGAGGCAGCAGUGGGGAAUAUUGCACAAUGGGCGCAAGCCUGAUGCAGCCAUGCCGCGUGUGUGAAGAAGGCCUUCGGGUUGUAAAGCACUUUCAGCGAGGAGGAAGGUGGUGAACUUAAUACGUUCAUCAAUUGACGUUACUCGCAGAAGAAGCACCGGCUAACUCCGUGCCAGCAGCCGCGGUAAUACGGAGGGUGCAAGCGUUAAUCGGAAUUACUGGGCGUAAAGCGCACGCAGGCGGUUUGUUAAGUCAGAUGUGAAAUCCCCGGGCUCAACCUGGGAACUGCAUUUGAAACUGGCAAGCUAGAGUCUCGUAGAGGGGGGUAGAAUUCCAGGUGUAGCGGUGAAAUGCGUAGAGAUCUGGAGGAAU
rnacentral:rRNA from 1 species